rnacentral:rRNA from 1 species
GGUUAAGCGACUAAGCGUACACGGUGGAUGCCCUGGCAGUCAGAGGCGAUGAAGGACGUGCUAAUCUGCGAAAAGCGUCGGUAAGGUGAUAUGAACCGUUAUAGCCGGCGAUGUCCGAAUGGGGAAACCCAGUGCAAUUCGUUGCACUAUCGUUUGAUGAAUACAUAGUCAAACGAGGCGAACCGGGGGAACUGAAACAUCUAAGUACCCCGAGGAAAAGAAAUCAACCGAGAUUCCCCCAGUAGCGGCGAGCGAACGGGGAGCAGCCCGGAGUCUGAAUCAGCUUGUGUGUUAGUGGAAGCGUCUGGAAAGUCGCAGGGUACAGGGUGAUACUCCCGUACACUAAAACGCACAAUUGUGAGCUCGAUGAGUAGGGCGGGACACGUGGUAUCCUGUCUGAAUAUGGGGGGACCAUCCUCCAAGGCUAAAUACUCCUGACUGACCGAUAGUGAACCAGUACCGUGAGGGAAAGGCGAAAAGAACCCCGGCGAGGGGAGUGAAAAAGAACCUGAAACCGUGUACGUACAAGCAGUGGGAGCCUCUUAAUGGGGUGACUGCGUACCUUUUGUAUAAUGGGUCAGCGACUUAUAUUCUGUAGCAAGGUUAACCGAAUAGGGGAGCCGAAGGGAAACCGAGUCUUAACUGGGCGUUAAGUUGCAGGGUAUAGACCCGAAACCCGGUGAUCUAGCCAUGGGCAGGUUGAAGGUUGGGUAACACUAACUGGAGGACCGAACCGACUAAUGUUGAAAAAUUAGCGGAUGACUUGUGGCUGGGGGUGAAAGGCCAAUCAAACCGGGAGAUAGCUGGUUCUCCCCGAAAGCUAUUUAGGUAGCGCCUCGUGAAUUCAUCUCCGGGGGUAGAGCACUGUUUCGGCAAGGGGGUCAUCCCGACUUACCAACCCGAUGCAAACUGCGAAUACCGGAGAAUGUUAUCACGGGAGACACACGGCGGGUGCUAACGUCCGUCGUGAAGAGGGAAACAACCCAGACCGCCAGCUAAGGUCCCAAAGUCAUGGUUAAGUGGGAAACGAUGUGGGAAGGCCCAGACAGCCAGGAUGUUGGCUUAGAAGCAGCCAUCAUUUAAAGAAAGCGUAAUAGCUCACUGGUCGAGUCGGCCUGCGCGGAAGAUGUAACGGGGCUAAACCAUGCACCGAAGCUGCGGCAGCGACACUAUGUGUUGUUGGGUAGGGGAGCGUUCUGUAAGCCUGUGAAGGUG